UAAAAAUACAAAAAUUAGCCAGGUGUGGAGGUGCACGCCUGUAAUCCCAGCUACUUGGGUGGCUGAGGCAGGAGAAUCUCUUGAACCCAGGAGGUGGAGGUUGCAGCAAGCUGAGAUCGUGCCACUGCACUUCAGCCUGGGUGACAGAGUGAGACUCCAUUUCAAAAAACAAAACAAAACAAAACAAAAAACUCUUGUAAAUUCCCAUAAAAAUAUGGAAUUGUUUCUGCCUGAUCUUAUUCAUUAGAUCAGGAAUCUUCAGGAGCCAGUCCUGGAUCUUAAAGAUUCCCCUGAGAAAUCUCCAAAACCUGCCCGCCCCUCCAUGCUUACUGAGGCAAUGCACUCUAUCCUCAGGUUUCUGGGGGGCCCCAAGGAGGGGCACAAGUGGGGAGGUCCUAGGGAGGCCAGAAUGCAAGCACCCAGCUCCUCCUCUCAGGAACUGGACUGAAGAUGCCAGAAAGUGAGGACCUCAACUUUCUCUAGCCCAGUCCGGUGAAGUGCCCACUGCACAGAAUGGAAAGUUAUUCCAGGAACAGAGCCUGCAGAAAUGCCUGGAAAUCACUGUCACCAGACACCGCCCAUGCCCAGUCUGUGUCAGAGGAGGAUCCCUGUGGAUUUUCUCCAGGCUACCCAUGCUCAGACCAGCUCAUUCUCCUGGGAUCGCUUCCCCACAGUCCUCAGGUCAAGUAGGAGAAAGAGGCUCACCCGAACCUCUUUGUUGGCUCAUCCAAAUUUGAUGGGGAGAGGGGAAACAAAAAAAAGGAGAAUUCUGCCUGGCAUGGUGGUGGGUGCCUAUAAUCCCAGGUACUCUGGAGGCUGAGGUGGGAUGGUUGCUUGAAACCAGGAGUUCAAGACCAGCCUAAGCAACAGAGUAAGACCCUAUCUCUAUUUUUUUUUUUUAAGAAAAGAAUUUUUUUUCUUUUUUUUAAGGCAGGGUCUCACUCUGUCACCCAGGCUGGAGUGCAGUGGCACAAUCUUGGCUCACUGCAGCCUUGACCUCCCAGGCUCAACGGAUUCUCCCACCUCAGCUUCCCAAGUAGCAGGGACCACAGGUGCAUGCCACUGUGCCCUAGCUAAUUUUUUUUGUUUGGUUUGGUUUGGUUGGUUUUUUUUUUUUUUUUUUUUUUUUUGAGAUGAAGUUUCGCUCUUGUUGCCCAGGCUGUAGUAGAAUGGUGCCAUCUCAGCUCACUGCAAUCUCCGCCUCCCAGAUUGAAGCAAUUCUCCUGCCUCAGCCUCCCAAGUAGCUGGGAUUAUAGGUAUGCACCACCACACCCAGCUAAUUUUGAGGCUGAGGCAGGAGAAUCUGCUUGAACCCAGGAGGCCAAGAUUGCAGUGAGCCGAGAUCACGCCACUGUACUCCAGCCUGGGUGACAGAGUGAGACUCCAUCUCAAAAAAAAUAAAUAAAAAUAAAAUGUUCCCUAAAAUAAAUUCCC
rnacentral:lncRNA from 1 species